GAUGAACGCUGGCGGCGUGCCUAACACAUGCAAGUCGAACGGAGUCCAGCCUUUAAGACCUUCGGGUCAAAGAGGGGAAGACUGAGUGGCGGACGGGUGAGUAACACGUGGGCAACCUGGCUCAUAGAGGGGGAUAACAGAGAGAAAUUUCUGCUAAUACCGCAUAAGCACACACUGCCGCAUGGCAGAGGGUGAAAAGAGAAUCGCUAUGAGAUGGACCCGCGUCUGAUUAGCCAGUUGGCAGGGUAAGAGCCUACCAAAGCGACGAUCAGUAGCCGAUCUGAGAGGAUGAACGGCCACAUUGGGACUGAGACACGGCCCAAACUCCUACGGGAGGCAGCAGUGGGGGAUAUUGCACAAUGGGGGGAACCCUGAUGCAGCGACGCCGCGUGAGUGAAGAAGUAUUUAGGUAUGUAAAGCUCUAUCAGCAGGGAAGAUAAUGACAGUACCUGAAGAAGAAGCCCCGGCUAACUACGUG
rnacentral:rRNA from 1 species